GACCUGAUAGCACAGUCGGUAGUGCAUCUGCUCAAAAUUCACUUUCGUCGUUGCUUCAGCAGAAGACCCUCGUUCGAUCCAGGGUCAGGUCA